UACGUAGGGGGCAAGCGUUGUCCGGAAUCAUUGGGCGUAAAGAGCUCGUAGGCGGCUCAGUAAGUCGGGUGUGAAACCUCCAGGCUCAACCUGGAGACGCCACCCGAUACUGCUGUGGCUAGAGUCCAGUAGGGGAGUGUGGAAUUCCCGGUGUGAGCGGUGAAAUGCGCAGAUAUCGGGUGGAACACCAGUGGCGAAGGCGGCAUCCUGGACCGGCAUUGACGCUGAUGAGCGAAAGCCAGGGGAG
rnacentral:rRNA from 1 species